rnacentral:lncRNA from 1 species
AGAUUACAGGCGUGAGCCAUUGCACCCGGCCUAAAAAAUCUUUAACAUAUUAUAUUAAGCAGUUUUAGUUGGUUUAUUGUUAUUUUUUAGAUGGAUUGCUGUCUUAUGGACUCACAGAAAAUUGGAUUAGAUUGGAAGGAUAUACCAGGGACUGUAACAUGCAGAACUCUUUGAGGACCAGGGUUUAGCUUGAAUUCCCCUGUCUGUCCACGAGAUCCAAGUUUGUGAUCAUU